UUGUAAAUAAUGUAAAUAAUUCAAUGUGAUUAUCUUGUGUGAUGACUGUAUUAUGAUGAUAGUAUAUAUGAUAGUAUAUAUCUGUAUCAUGAAUCAAUUUAAGUGGACCCCGACUUAAACAAGUUGAAAAACUUAUUCGGGUGUUACCAUUUAGUGGUCAAUUGUACGGAAUAUGUACUUCACUGUGCAACCUACUAAUAAAAGUCUCAAUCAAUCAAAAAAAACCAAAUGAAUUGUAUUUCUCAUAGCAAGACAUUCAUUUGAUGAUUUAAUUUAUUUUUUUGUUUACUAACUCGACCUCUGCCACAAAAGGCAUACGUGUAUGCUUAUCAAUCAUUAUAUUGUUAUUAUCAUGACACCAAUGUUAUUAUUAUUGCACCAACUUUACUAUCAGUACACCGACACUAUUACCAUUAUAUUAUCCUUAUCAUGACAUCAACAUUAUCAAUACACCAACAUUAUUAUUAUCGAUACACCAUCCUCUCGAGGUCAUGGGGGCUGGAGCCAAUCCCAGCUGCACAUGGGCAUAAGGCGGGGUACACCCAGGACAAGUCGCCACCUCAUCGCAGGGCCAACACAGAUAGACAGACAACAUUCACACUCACAUUCACACACCAAUUUAGUGUUGCCAAUCAACCUAUCCCCAAAGCCGGAGUACCCGGAGGGAACCCACGUCAAUAUUAAUACAUUUUUGAACACCUUAUCAUCACACUAUCAUUCUCAUUACAGCAACUUUAUCAUUACAUUACACAGUUGUUACCAUUAUCAUCACACCAACAUUAUCAUUAGGCCAACAUUAUUAGAAUUGCACCAUCAUUAUCAUUACAUCUUUACCAUAAAGGGUAUUAAAUGGUUUGAAAAAGUUGUAAACACGAUUAAACAGUGUAAAUAUUAUUAGUAUUAGGGCUGUGAAUCUCUGGGUGUCCCACGAUUCGAUUCAAUAUCGAUUCUUGGGUCACGAUUCGAUUCAAAAUCGAUUUUUUUUUUUAAUUCAACACGAUUCUCGAUUCAAAAACGAUUUUUUCCCGAUUCAAAAGGAUUCUCUAUUCAUUCAAUAAAUAGGAUUUCAGCAGGAUCUACCCCAGUCUGCUGACAUGCAAGCAGAGUAGUAGAUUUUUGUAAAAAGCUUUUAUAAUUGUAAAGGACAAUGUUUUAUCAACUGAUUGCAAUAAUGUACAUUUGUUUUAACUAUUAAAUGAACCAAAAAUAUGACUUAUUUGAUCUUUGUGAAAAUAUUGGACACAGUGUGUUGUCAAGCUUAUGAGAUGCGAUGCAAGUGUAAGCCACUGUGACACUAUUGAUCAUUUAUUUUAAUUUUUUUUAAAUGUCUAAUGAUAAUGUCAAUGAGGGAUUUUUAAUCACUGCUAUGUUGAAAUUGUAACUAAUAUGGAUACUGUUGUUGAUAAUAUUCAUUUUUGUUUCACUACUUUUGGUUUGUUCUGUGUCGUGUUUGUGUCUCCUCUCAAUUGCUCUGUUUAUUGCAGUUCUGAGUGUUGCUGGGUCGGGUUUGGUUUUGGAAUUGGAUUGCAUUGUUAUGGUAUUGCUGUGUAUUGUUUUGUUGGAUUGAUUAAUUUAAAAAAAAAAAAAAAAAAAUGUAAUAAUCAAAAUAAAAAAAUAAAAAAUCGAUUUUUAAAAAAAUGAGAAUCGAUUCUGAAUCGCACAACGUGAGAAUCGCGAUUCGAAUUCGAAUCAAUUUUUCCCCAAACUCCUAAUUAGUAUUAAACACACUUUAAAUGUAUUAAACGUGUACAUGUUACAUUGUGUGAGGAAGGCUCUAAAAAGUGGUCUUAAACUCAAUUUAGGUUUAUUUAAAUUAUAUUUAAACACAAAAUAUAAAAUAAAUAAAAUAAUUAAGAAUGAAUAUUAAUAUAAUAUUAUUUGAAUUAUUAUUGUUACUAAUUUAAUAACAUUAUAAUACAACAGAUAUUAGAUGUAUAAGACAACAGGAGUCGCUAUGAGACUGCAGACUACAUUAGGCUACAUUAGUUCCUUACUUUUGUUUUACUCCGCCAGGUACGCAUCACUUUGAUUUAUUUUGUUGGAGAUAGACAUUUAUACGUAUCUUGUCGCAAAUGUUUCUCUGCUUGCAUCAAGCCCGGUCCAUGUCCCACCUCCGAGAGCCAUAUAUGGUCUCCUGCUGGCCCCACUAUGGACUGGACUCUCACUAUAAUGUUAGAUCCACUAUGGACUGGACUCUCACAAUAUUAUGCUAGAUCCACUCGACGUCCAUUGCAUGUGGGAUCUGAGCCGAGGAUGUCCUUGUGGCUUGUGCAGCCUUUUGAGACACUCGUGAUUUAGGGCUAUAUAAGUAAACAUUGAUUGAUUGAUUGAUAUACCCCACUGUGAUUGGUAGAUUAGUUCAGCUCUGCACACAACACUGUAAAGGGCCACUUUUAAAACUCGCAGGCCGCACUAACAUUCAACUUUCUCAUUAAGGUGGGGGCCGCAAAAUAUCGUCUUGCGUGCCACAAAUGGUCCCCGGCCCGUGAGUUUGGGACCUAUGCUCUAAAGUUGAGUCUGUUUUCCAGCAGGUGAAGAAAGUGGUCUAAGGUUUUUGCUGCAAACCAAGCUCCUGCAGCACCAACACUAACUACAGUAACUACAGUGGAGUUGAAGAAGGACCUUUGAGGUGUUUGAGGACAGAAAGAUGGAAGAGCAGAACAUCAUGGAAAUUCUUUCUGGAGAUCAUCUUGUCUGCUGGAAGUUUUGUUCUCACAUGUUGAAACGACGACAGAGAAAUCCCUAAGGUCUUGUGUAUUGUGUGGGACCAAUCCUUCAGACUGGGGCGACACUCUCUGAGAGCUGGCCAUUGAAAUGCAGAAGGGAGCAGCUGAGGUCUGAAAAGGAGCGGCGCCCCCACGCUGACCACGCCCCC